AAGAGGAAGAUCGACCAGAGCUCUCUCUCUCUUCUCUAGGCAUGUGCUCUGAGAAAAGGUCAUCUGAGGACAAAGUACCCGUCUGCAAGCCAGGAAGAGAGCCCUUGCCAGAAACUAAACCCCGCUGGAAACUUGAUUUUGCGCUUUCCAGCCUCUAGAACUAAUAUGUGAAAAACAUUUAAAUCAGAAAGUAAAUGACAGGAUGAUUUGCAAGACACAGGGAUGUAAAAUUAAAAAGCCUCUCGAGCUCCAAAGGCUAAUCUCCUAGGAAUGGAUUCUAGGACGGCAU
rnacentral:lncRNA from 1 species